UACGUAGGGGGCAAGCGUUGUCCGGAUUUAUUGGGCGUAAAGAGCGCGUAGGCGGUUUGGUAGGUCCGUUGUGAAAACUCGAGGCUCAACCUCGAGACGCCGAUGGAAACCAUCAGACUAGAGUCCGGAAGAGGAGAGUGGAAUUCCUGGUGUAGCGGUGAAAUGCGUAGAUAUCGGGAGGAACACCAGUGGCGAAGGCGAUCACCUGGGGUUGUUCUGACGCUGAGGAGACGAAAGCUAGGG
rnacentral:rRNA from 1 species